UACGGGGGGGCAAGCGUUGUUCGGAAUUACUGGGCGUAAAGGGCUCGUAGGCGGCCAACUAAGUCAGACGUGAAAUCCCUUCGGCUUAACCCGGGGAACUGCGUUCUGAUACAUGGAUGGCUGGAGUUUGGGAGAGGGAUGCGGAAUUCCAGGUGUAGCAGGUGAAAUGCGUAGAUAUCUGGAGGAACACCGGCGGCGAAGGCGGCUGCCUGGACCGGCCCUGACGCUGAGGCGCGAAGCUAGGGGAGCAAACAGG
rnacentral:rRNA from 1 species